CCUCAGCUCUAUACACAAAAUCCAAGUGACAGGUUCCCUUUAAUACCGACGUCUAAAACGACAAUAAACGUGCCCCAAAAUUCUUUUCUCUGGAAAACCACAAGGGAUUUUCACAAGACGGCAGAUACUGACUCCUCUCCAAGCCUUGCCUUUUACAAUUACAUAUAUUAUCUGGUUGCUAUGGGCAACGUUCUCAACAAUUGAAGAAAGCUUCACAUCCUAUAUAAAUGAACAAUAAAAAAAAAAAAAUAUUCAUGAUAUAAACCGAUGGGUUGCAAGCCAUGACUUUCCAGCUGUUGGGAAUCUACAAUCCCCAUCAUUCCCAGACAGCCUGCAUGAGAGUUGUAGUUUGCAGACGUUUGGAAUAAACUGGACUCUACAGUAAAUA